AGCACUCGUGUUUGUUUUUGUUUAAUUUGUGGACAAAGACUUACAGACGAGUGUGAAAGUAAAUCCUCUUUUGCAACCCACAACUCAUUGUUCAGUAUGAGUUUUGAUACAGAUAAGAAGGAACAUG
rnacentral:snoRNA from 1 species